rnacentral:lncRNA from 1 species
GUCCAUUCGUACAAGUCAUGCUGGCUCUUUCAAAUCAGAUUGCAUUUAUCCAGGAAUUAGAGGCUCCUGCUUAGAAAGGAUCAGACCUCAAGAGGAGUCUGGAUAACCUUACAGAUCCAUUAGGAUACUGUCUUAAGGAAGAGACGGGUCUCACACUGUUCUCUGAAAGCUGCAGACAGGAAAUUUAUUGUGCUGAUGCCACUACUGAGUGCCAAAAAUGGCAAUGGACACUUGAGUUGUAUGGUGGAGAUGAAACAAUUAGUAUUUAACUUUGGGCAGCAAAGAGUACAGACGAGGCACAAAGUUCUGCUACCAAAUAAAAGGGAAGACAAGGAGUACUGAAAUUCAGUGACUGGCCUGAGUCUGCUUGGUGCCUUGAUGUAAUGACUUCAGUGGAAAAAAAAAAAAGUCUCAGCACUGAGUAAGGUCUAUGGGAGGCCAAAAAAGAACUUCAUAAGACCCGCAUUCUUCACAGCUGGAAGACUGUAAUCUGGAGAGUUACUGUUCAAAACCAGAUAUUCUGCAUGGCACAGAGUAGGUCACUUUGAAGCUCCCUCCACUCAUGUUACAUCAGCAGCUUGAGAAAAGGUAUGUUUAAACAGAGAAACCAGUUAAAACCAGAACAAGAUGGUGGCUUCAGUUCUCUGGGCUAGGCUGAGCAGAUCCUAGCAGAGUUGUACCUUCUGUAGGAUAUUCUCCAGGAGAAUUGAUUUGCUACUGUUCUCAGGCUGGGGACAUCUUCUUCCCUCCUGCUGGACCAGCUCUGCUUGCAUUGCAUGCUAGAUGCUGGGCUUUGUCUGUAUUUUUUCCAGACUCUGGGAAACCAGCACUGUAGAACAAAUAGAAGUUGGGCCACUUGCCUCCUGGGGACUGAUUUGACAGAAAGAUUGCAUUAUUUUACAAGCAAAAGUCUUGGUUUGAAUAAUAGCCUAAAUGUACAAUAAAUCAAUG